UAGAUCCUCUGUCAUUUGUGAGCAGAAGUUGGUCUAAAAUGCUAAGCAGCAUUUGUCUUCUGCCUGAAGUCUUCAUCAAAAUCCCAAAGUGGCUGUUGAAAGGUGACAUCAUUCUGACCUUAAAAUGCAAUAAGGUUAGCUGUCAUUUGACUUUACACUGAAAAUUGAGGUGGAAAAUAGGAUAAUAUAAGAAUCAGUGGCCCCUAAGGAGCAGGAUUUUGGAGAGUUAAGAACCUGGGGUUUCAUCUUGCCAAUUUCAGGAUUCUCUGUCAUCACCUGGUUGAGGCUGUGAGCUCAGGAUUGAGGUGAGACCUAUCAUUUGUCUUUGUCAACUCAGCUAUUUUCUGUUGUUAUGGUUAAAGAUACUUUCGGUUGUAUGUGAAGGCCAGGUCCUUUGUGUUCACUUUCAGUGUUGGGCUAAAGCUGUAAAAAAUCAUCAAAAUUAAUAAAAG
rnacentral:lncRNA from 10 species